rnacentral:rRNA from 1 species
CCUACGGGAGGCAGCAGUGGGGAAUCUUGCGCAAUGGGCGAAAGCCUGACGCAGCAACGCCGCGUGCGGGAAGAAGGCUUUCGGGCUGUAAACCGCUUUCAGCAGGAACGAAAAUGACGGUACCUGCAGAAGAAGGAGCGGCCAACUAUGUGCCAGCAGCCGCGGUGAUACAUAGGCUUCAAGCGUUGUCCGGAUUUAUUGGGCGUAAAGAGUUCGUAGGCGGUCAAGUAAGUCGGGUGUGAAAAUUCUGGGCUCAACCCAGAGACGCCACCCGAUACUGCUUAACUUGAGUUCGAUAGGGGAGUGGGGAAUUCCUAGUGUAGCGGUGAAAUGCGCAGAUAUUAGGAGGAACACCGGUGGCGAAGGCGCCACUCUGGAUCGAUACUGACGCUGAGGAACGAAAGCAUGGGUAGCAAACAGGAUUAGAUACCCUGGUAGUCCAUGCCGUAAACGGUGGGCACUAGGUGUGGGUUUCUAUUAACGAAAUCCGCGCCGUCGCUAACGCAUUAAGUGCCCCGCCUGGGGGAGGUACGGUCGCGAGACGUAAACUUAAAGUAGAGUAGUAACGGUCGUAGUUAGUUGUCGAGGACGACACGAGGGAGAGG